GCACUGCCGAAGAGUCCCAGAAUAGGACGAAACGGCUGUUCAGUGC
rnacentral:hammerhead_ribozyme from 1 species